CACAGAGGUCUCAAGCGUUGUUCGGAUUCAUUGGGCGUAAAGGGUGCGUAGGUGGCGCCGUAAGUCGGGUGUGAAAUUUCGGAGCUUAACUCCGAAACUGCAUUCGAUACUGCGGUGCUUGAGGACUGGAGAGGAGACUGGAAUUCAUGGUGUAGCAGUGAAAUGCGUAGAGAUCAUGAGGAAGACCAGUGGCGAAGGCGGGUCUCUGGACAGUUCCUGACACUGAGGCACGAAGGCCAGGGGAGCAAACGGG
rnacentral:rRNA from 1 species